AUUAAAUCGAUCGUUUUGAGUCAAUUGAAAAGUACUUCCUUUACGCAAAUCAAAUUAUUGCAGUAUAAUAAUGACACCCUGUAUAAAUACUCGAGUGAUUCGUGUCUUCUUACCAAAUUUUAAAGUCUAGAACAUUGUACUAUACAAAAUUGUAAACACGACAAAGUUAUGGAAGCAAAAUAUCUGUUAUUACUAUGCGUUGCAUUAUUCUGUUUCUUUCGCACUUGUCAAUGUUAUUGCGACUGUGAUUAUCAUGCUGGAGGUUGUACUAUAAGCAGGGGAGCCAAAAAGAACGGUGAAACAUGUAAAUGUGUUUACAAAGGUGCAUGGACUUGCACAGGCUAUGAUGUUGGUUGCAACUCUGAUCAAAAACGUAUUUGCAAAAAAGGGUGUCGAAGUAGAGAGUGCUGUAAUGCUGGAGGCGGUGAUUGCGGUGGAUAUUAAAGUUUUUGUAUUAAACUAUUGAAUUUAUAUAAUUAAAACUUUGUAGUAAAUAUAUAUAUAUAUAUAUAUAUAUAUAUAUAUAUAUAUAUAUAUAUAUAUAUUUACAUUUGUUAGUCUUGUUGUAACUAUAUACUGCCAAGAAUAAAAAUAAUAAACUUU